rnacentral:misc_RNA from 1 species
AGUCGUAACAAGGUUUCCGUAGGUGAACCUGCGGAAGGAUCAUUAACACGUAUCCAACGUUAAAAACCCCGUGUAUUUUAACCCUGCUCUCCUCACCUGGUAAAUCACAACGAACAGUUUGAUUCAGAGACUUCUUCAAGACGUGUGGAUGGAUCGGUUCCGAAAGGAUAACUGAUACUUACUCAGGUCGUUGACCCUCACGGUCAGUAUGUGAAAGUCGGGCUUGCAAACUACAGGCCCACAAAACGAACAACUGUUAACAAUGGAUAUCUUGGUUCUC